CAUGUAAGCUCUGGGUGCGCCUCAGCUCGCAAUGAGCGACGAGACGCCCCGGGAGUGCGGGGUAUGUGCCGUACGGCACCGCCCAUCCUCCCUCGGCCACUGCGCAGGGCACUGCUGCCUUCACUUUCAUUUCGCCUUUUGGUUUCGAUGGUCCAAAUGACUCGCUCACAUGCUAGACUCCUUGGUCCGUGUUUCAAGACGGGUCCUGAAAGUACCCAAAGCUAUAGCGUCGCCGACAGGCGUGCAUCGGAGACUGUCCGAGAGCACCGCCGCCAGCAGCCGGGCGGGCCCGGUGUCGGCACACUAGGUCCGGCAGCCGGGUGAGAACCGUCCGCGCUUGCGACGGGUCGGACGCGAACUAGUCGCGGCCCCGCGCCUCUGUCGUUCCGUCGGGCAGGUCGGUCGGGCGUCACGGGUCCGCACGGCACACGCACAAGUGCGUUCCGUACGGGCUCCUCCGCGAGCCUCAAGCCAACACCCAACAGGUCGCGACGUUCUACUGGGGCAGAAGUGCACGCGUUCCGGACACCGGUGAACGUCGGACUGGCGCGUCGACCCGUAGGCCGACGUCGCAACAGCGAUCGAACGUCACGGCGGGAGACACGCUGAAUCUGCCCGUUCGAACUUUCGGGUUUCUCAGGUUUACCCCUGAACGGUUUCACGUACUAUUGAACUCUCUCUUCAAAGUUCUUUUCAACUUUCCCUCACGGUACUUGUUCGCUAUCGGUCUCGUGGUUAUAUUUAGCCUUAGAUGGAGUUUACCACCCACUUUGGGCUGCACUCUCAAGCAACCCGACUCUGAGGAGAGAUCCUCCCGCGAUCGGCGGCAGUCCCUACGGGCCUGGCACCCUCUAUGGGUAAGUGGCCCCGUUCAAGAAGGACUUGGACGCACUGCACGAUCUCGGGAUGGCGGACCCUCCCAAACACCACAUUUCCCUGCGUCCGGUGUCGGCCGCGGGAUUCGGUGCUGGGCUCUUCCCUGUUCGCUCGCCG
rnacentral:rRNA from 1 species